GCCGCGGCGGGGACAGCGGCGACCGGGGCAGGACUGCAGCACAGCCAGGACUCCAGCCUCAACCAGGUGCCUCCCAACAAGAAACCACGCAUAGGGCCUUCAGGCACUAACUCAGGCGGGCCUGUCAUGCCUUCAGAUUAUCAGCACUCCAGCUCACGCCUGAGUUACCAAAGCAACAUUCAGGGAUCUUCUCAGUCCCAGAGUACAAUGGGCUACUCCACAUCGUCUCAGCAGAGCUCUCAGUACCACCAAUCUCAUCAGUCUCACAGGUACUGAGAGGCCUGACAGGCUGCACUCAGAAAGGAAUGGACUAAAAGCCAGAAGACUCCAGCAAUAUGAAGUUCAUAAUGAUGAGAAGACCAAAAAUACAAACUAUAAUGCAGAAUUAAAAUUCAUGCUGACAAAAGGAAAACUUCACUCACUGAAGACUUCCCCUGGCUCCAUCCCCGUCCCUGUAUUGCCAUAAAGGAGAUUCUCGUGAAGUUUUCCUUCCUUCCUGCCCCUGCAUGUGCUCCAUUGUGGUUACUCUAAUGAACCCUUCUGAUCUGAACCCAGCACUUAACUUCUUUAACCUUUGGAAUUUUGAAGGAUUCCUGGUGCACCUUCCUUAUGCUGUAGUGAUUGCCAUAAAUCUGUCUUUUCAAUCUCUUUGAUGGGAUUUUAAAGUUUUAAAAUCUUGAACUCCCAGGCUUUCAAGCUUGUAUAUAGUUAGUUUUAUACUAGGCAAACCAGUUUAGCUAUACAGGUAUAUUGCACCUUUUUAAAGCACUAUGUUAUUUUCACAGGAUAUUACUGUUUUGCUCAUGGAUGUCAAGAACAGCAAAAAUUUUACUGUUCCAGAGUAUUUUACUAUUCUGUUUUUAUUAGUCUAGUUUUCAGGCGAAGUAUUAAAAAUAAAAA